rnacentral:rRNA from 1 species
UUUCCGUAGGUGAACCUGCCGAAGGAUCAUU